UACGGAGGGGGCUAGCGUUGUUCGGAAUUACUGGGCGUAAAGCGCACGUAGGCGGCUUUGUAAGUUAGAGGUGAAAGCCCAGAGCUCAACUCUGGAACUGCCUUUAAGACUGCAUCGCUUGAAUUGUGGAGAGGUAAGUGGAAUUCCGAGUGUAGAGGUGAAAUUCGUAGAUAUUCGGAAGAACACCAGUGGCGAAGGCGACUCGCUGGACAAGUAUUGACGCUGAGGUGCGAAAGCGUGGGGAGCAAACAGG
rnacentral:rRNA from 1 species